AGGACGAACGCUGGCGGCGUGCUUAACACAUGCAAGUCGAGCGAGGCCCUUCCUUCGGGAAGGUGUCCUAGCGGCGAACGGGUGAGUAACACGUGGGCAACCUGCCCUCAGCUCUGGGAUAACUCCGGGAAACCGGGGCUAAUACCGGAUACGACCUCUAAGGGCAUCCGAAGAGGUGGAAAGUUUUUCGGCUGAGGAUGGGCCCGCGGCCUAUCAGCUUGUUGGUGGGGUGACGGCCUACCAAGGCGACGACGGGUAGCCGG
rnacentral:rRNA from 1 species